rnacentral:rRNA from 1 species
GUAGGUGGCAAGCGUUGUCCGGAAUUAUUGGGCGUAAAGCGCGCGCAGGCGGUCCUUUAAGUCUGAUGUGAAAGCCCACGGCUCAACCGUGGAGGGUCAUUGGAAACUGGGGGACUUGAGUACAGAAGAGGAAAGCGGAAUUCCAAGUGUAGCGGUGAAAUGCGUAGAGAUUUGGAGGAACACCAGUGGCGAAGGCGGCUUUCUGGUCUGUAACUGACGCUGAGGCGCGAAAGCGUGGGGAGCAAACAGGAUUAGAUACCCUGGUAGUCCACGCCGUAAACGAUGAGUGCUAAGUGUCAGGGGGUUUCCCGCCCCUUAGUGCUGCAGCUAACGCAUUAAGCACUCCGCCUGGGGAUACGGCCGCAAGGCUG